UACGAAGGGUGCAAGCGUUACUCGGAAUUACUGGGCGUAAAGCGUGCGUAGGUGGUUUGUUAAGUCUGAUGUGAAAGCCCUGGGCUCAACCUGGGAAUUGCAUUGGAUACUGGCAGGCUAGAGUGCGGUAGAGGAUGGCGGAAUUCCAGGUGUAGCGGUGAAAUGCGUAGAUAUCUGGAGGAAUACCGGUGGCGAAGGCGGCAUCCUGGACCGGCAUUGACGCUGAGGAGCGAAAGCCAGGGGAGCAAACGGG
rnacentral:rRNA from 1 species